rnacentral:rRNA from 1 species
CACGUAGUUAGCCGUGGCUUUCUCAUAAGGUACCGUCAAUUGAUAGUCAUUUCCUCCUAUCACCUUUCUUCCCUUAUAACAGAAUUUUACAACCCGAAGGCCUUCUUCAUUCACGCGGCGCUGCUCGGUCAGGCUUUCGCCCAUUGCCGAAGAUUCCCUACUGCUGCCUCCCGUAGGAGUCUGGGCCGUGUCUCAGUCCCAGUGUGGCCGUUCACCCUCUCAGGUCGGCUACGCAUCGUCGCCUUGGUAGGCCUUUACCCCACCAACUAGCUAAUGCGCCGCAGGCUCAUCCAUCAGUGAUGCCAGGAGCAUCUUUAAACUUUCGUCCUAUCCGGUAUUAGCGAUCGUUUCCAACCGUUGUCCCCGUCUGAUGGGUAGAUCACCUACGUGUUACUCACCCGUUCGCCGCUUCCCACCGAAGUGGUUCGCUCGACUUGCAUGUAUUAGGCACGCCGCCAGCGUUCAUCCUGAGCAGGAUCAAACUCU